rnacentral:misc_RNA from 1 species
UUAACUAUUAUAUAGUACUCAGACAGCAAAGAUUCAAGGGUUUGAUUCCUCUGGCCGGCCCGCGAGGGCCAGCCAAAGCAACUGAGGUUUGGUAUACAAAGGGUGAGAAUGGGACCGUGAGGUCACCGAUUCUUUAAUGAUCCUUCCGCAGGUUCCGUUUAUCCCCCGCAGUUGCCUACGAGGACGGGCUCUAUCUUAAGCCUGGCCGAGGGCCAGACCCACACUCAUUGAGUCUCUGAACCGGCCCCGGGUUGGGGGGCCGGCUGCGGAUUACCCUCGCGAACGAGGGCCUUUCCGCAACAUUGAGCGUGUCGCCUCGUACGAGACUAGCAGUUUUAAAAAAGGUCUGCUCUGGUAGGCUGAACUCAGCGACCUACGGAAA